GACGAACGCUGGCGGCGUGCUUAACACAUGCAAGUCGAACGAUGACGACCGAGCUUGCUCGGUCUGAUUAGUGGCGAACGGGUGAGUAACACGUGAGCAACCUGCCCUUCACUCUGGGAUAACCUCGGGAAAUCGGGGCUAAUACCGGAUAUGAGCUCCUGUCGCAUGGCGGGCGUUGGAAAUUUUUUCGGUGGAGGAUGGGCUCGCGGCCUAUCAGUUUGUUGGUGGGGUAGUGGCUCACCAAGGCGAUGACGGGUAGCCGGCCUGAGAGGGCGACCGGCCCCACGGGGACGGGGGCAGGGCCAGAACGCCAAAGGGGAGAAGGGGGGGGAAAAAUUGACAAAGGGGCGAAGGCCGUGAAGAAGGCCCCCGGGUGGGGAAGGACGGCCUUCGGGUUGGAAACCUAUUUAAGAAAGAAAAAAGGGAAAUGAAGGGAACCAGAAAAAAAAGCCCGGGUAAAUUAGGG
rnacentral:rRNA from 1 species